rnacentral:rRNA from 1 species
GAUGAACGCUGGCGGCGUGCCUAAUACAUGCAAGUCGAGCGAACAGAUGAGGAGCUUGCUCCUCUGACGUUAGCGGCGGACGGGUGAGUAACACGUGGAUAACCUACCUAUAAGACUGGGAUAACUUCGGGAAACCGGAGCUAAUACCGGAUAAUAUAUUGAACCGCAUGGUUCAAUAGUGAAAGACGGUUUUGCUGUCACUUAUAGCUGGAUCCGCGCCGCAUUAGCUAGUUGGUAAGGUAACGGCUUACCAAGGCGACGAUGCGUAGCCGAACUGAGAGGGUGAUCGGCCACACUGGAACUGAGACACGGUCCAGACUCCUACGGGAAGCAGCAGUAGGGAAUCGUCCGCAAUGGGCGAAAGCCUGACGGAGCAACGCCGCGUGAUUGAUGAAGGUCUUCGGAUCGUAAAACUCUGUUAUUAGGGAGGAACAAGUGUGUAAGUAACUAUGCGCGUCUUGACGGUACCUGAUCAGAGAGCCACGGCUAACUACGUG